ACCCACGACUAUGGCGUCAAAAUGCGCAAUGUGGUUAAGUUUCUGGAAAAUGGCGACAAGGUGAAAGUGACCUUGCGCUUCCGUGGUCGUGAAAUGGCACACCAAAAUCUGGGCCGCGAGCUGCUUGAACGCGUCGCAGAAGACAUCAAAGAAUUGGGCAAAAUCGAAAACAUGCCCAAGAUGGAAGGCCGCCAGAUGGUCAUGAUGAUCGGUCCCUUGCCGACAAAAUAAAAACCACAAUCUGUGAUUUUUUCAAAAACCUCUCCUUUGUGGGAGGUUUUUGCGUAUUUGCUCUCUUCCGUUACCAAGCCGGUAACCAAUUUUCUUUAUAUGAGAA
rnacentral:misc_RNA from 1 species